rnacentral:rRNA from 1 species
GAUGAACGCUGGCGGCGUGCCUAAUACAUGCAAGUCGAGCGAACAGACGAGGAGCUUGCUCCUCUGACGUUAGCGGCGGACGGGUGAGUAACACGUGGAUAACCUACCUAUAAGACUGGGAUAACUUCGGGAAACCGGAGCUAAUACCGGAUAAUAUAUUGAACCGCAUGGUUCAAUAGUGAAAGACGGUUUUGCUGUCCCUUAUAGAUGGAUCCGCGCCGCAUUAGCUAGUUGGUAAGGUAACGGCUUACCAAGGCGACGAUGCGUAGCCGACCUGAGAGGGUGAUCGGCCACACUGGAACUCAGACACGGUCCAGACUCCUACGGGAGGCAGCAGUAGGGAAUCUUCCGCAAUGGGCGAAAGCCUGACGGAGCAACGCCGCGUGAGUGAUGAAGGUCUUCGGAUCGUAAAACUCUGUUAUUAGGGAAGAACAAAUGUGUAAGUAACUAUGCACGUCUUGACGGUACCUAAUCAGAAAGCCACGGCUAACUACGUG